AGCUGCUGAUGACACACAGGAAGUCUGCAGAGCUUAUGGAGGUAUCAGAAGGGCGGCUAUUUGUCAGGACUGGGUUUACUUGGGAGUGGAGUUCUGCAAACUACAUAGGACCACGUCUGAAUCAUCCUGCUGGAGGAGGAAAGACCAGGCAGAGCUGAGUUAUCAGUCAAGGUUAUCCUGGAUCACUGCAUCCUUGAACAUGCAAGAUAAAAGACAUCAGUGACUUCCCGAAUGCCUGUGUCAGCUUGUUGGUGACAAGAGAUGCUGAAUGAGACACUAUUAUGGCUUAAAGUAUUACAGGAGACAAAAUUAGUUCACAAAGAUUGAACGGAAAAGCAGAAAGAGAAGACCACAAGUGAGAAGGAAGCUGUCACCAGUUUUGAUGCUGUCUUUGUAGACAACUCCCCACUGAGUGACAGAACUGAUGAGCUCCGCACUCCCUAGGAAGAACCCAAGUGUUCCAGGCAAUGAAAAAUCAAAGCAACUGAAGAGCUGCAAAUGCUCUCCAGCCAUCAGCCUGCAGCACAGUUGUGAGGUGCAGAUUAUUAUGCAAGCUGGUAGGCAAAACAUGAUGAGGAAUUGGAGUUAACUUUGGGGAUGUGCAGGUGUUUGCCAUUCAUUCAUUUACUCAUGCAAGUCUGUUGUAAGAUGGAUCAAGAGCCACAAGUGUGAUAUCAAAUUCGCACUCACGCAGCCAGCCAUUCAUCCAUUCACUUAAGAUAUUUAUUGAGAUAAUGCACUGCACACUAGAAAAACAAACAUGAAAAAGAACAUGAUCCCUGUGUUCCAGAAAAAAUAGGGUAGAUGAAAGAGACAUAGAGGGAAGCUAGCACUUACAAUAAUGGGAGCCAUCAGAAAGGAGCUGGGGGGGGUACUGCUUUUUCCUGUCAAAUUCUGCAUGCAUGGAGAAGCACAAGGGAGAUAUGUGAGCAGCAACACAUCAGCUCAGGAGAAAAAUGAGAUUGGAGGAUGUGAUAUCAGUUCUGCCACCCAGAAGCCUACUUGCAACACAUCAGCCAAAACAUACUCUCCCAGCCUCUGCACAGUGGGACAGCCAGAUCCACCCCACAGCCACAGGGACAAGCUCUUACAUCUGGUAGAGGGCAGAGCAGAACACCUAUCUCUUGCAGAUGGUCAAGGCUGGAAAGAGGCUAGAAAGAAGAAAGAGAAGAAGUAGCCAAGGUAAACUCAGUCAGCCCCUUCUCCCAGUCCAUGCAUUGAUGCCUUACUCUCCCUCCUGUGAGGAGGAGCGGAGGAGGGAUAGAGAGGCUGGGUGCAGUAAUCAUCCAUUCCUGCCUUAUUACAGGAAUAGAAAGCUACACUGUGUGAAGACUUUUUCCCUAAAGUUUUGGUGUAGCACAGAAGAAAGCCCUGCCUGAUCUAGACCUGAGGAUAAACGCAGGUUUCACUUAGGAGGUCACACGUACUAAUGGCUGAAGAAGAGCAGCACAGGAAAGAAAACAGAGUGUUAUUAGCUUUCAUAAAGGAAAUUAACCAAGAAUUGGUUUACAAACAGGUAGCAUCUAAAGGAGAUGAGGACUAGUAGGUGUAUUGCAACAAGCAGAAAGGCUUGGCAAACUCAUUGAAGAGAGGAAAGGCUAUUACUUGCCAUAUCGUGAUAAGAAGGCCUACAGGCAAGACUUUGGCACACAUAGGCAAAGGCAAGGACUUUCUUAGCAGAACCCCAAGUGCACAAGAGAUAACAUCAACAAUCAAUAAAUUGGAUUGUUUCAAAUUAAAAAAAGCUUCUGCAUAGCAAAGGAAGCAACCAACAGAGUGAAGUGACAAAUUAUCUUUUCCAUGGGUGUCCCAGCCAGAGGACUAAGAGCUAGAAUAAAUAAAAAAUGAAAAAUAUUAGAUUUCAGAAGAAAAAGACACAAUUAAA